ACGUGCUCUCGUUCCUGCCCUCUGCCAUUCCCCCUACACCAAAUGCAAAGUGCUCUCCUUGGGCUGAACCACGGCUCUGACCGAAGCCACUUUUCUGCACGGCUGUGAAAAGGGACUGAAUGAAUGUAGUCAGCCUCCAAAACAGGAGCAUUUGCCCUCCUCGGUAUGUAGCUGAAGGAUUUUGACACCAGCUGAUGUGGCAGGGUUUGGAAGGAUAGCGGAAAGCGUUUCCCGCACAGCUGUGAGACUUGCUCCAUUCCUUAGGAAACUGUUUUGUGCUGCGCAGGGAGGAUGAAAUCCCCAAAUCCCCAUCCAAAUCAAAUUAGAGCGUCACUGGAGUUGGAGGGGCCUAGUGAUGAGAUGGGGAAUAUUUUCUUAAUCUUUCUCUGUCUCACGCAGAAUCUUGGAGGAAGAGUGACGGUGAUUACCAGUGAGAAGGUUCCUUCUCUUGAACUAGUUAGGCAGUGCCUGCCCCUGCUCUGGAACACGCCGUUAGGCUUUUUUGAUGCUUGCUUCAGGCCACAUCU